UGCUGGGGCAGACGGAGCGAUGCUAGCCUGACCGAGCUAGACGGCACGAGGCACCAGCGAUGGCGGACCUUCCUGCUGCCCUACAUCGGCCCUUCAAAUCCCAGACAAUGGUGAGAAGGAUGGUGCCUGCUUGAAGGAAGGAGCCACGGAGAUCGGCAUGUUCUAUAGGGCCCAAAGUAUCAGGAUAUUCUAAACAUCUGAGUGAGUGAUUGGUACUAAUCGCCGUGGUCAAGCUCUAGAAGUUGAUGCUGAAAAAAGUUGUUAUGCUGGUACUCAAUUUUUUCUGUUAUGUGUUGUAACAAAAAAGUCCAGUAUGUACUCGUUCUAAGAUGAUAUAUUAUUAUUUUAUUUUUAAGGAAUAUGGUUAGCUUAGGGGCCCAUUUUCAUUAAAUUUGAACUGUAUUAUUUCAUCUGAACUGAUGAUUAUAUAGGUCUUUGAAGCCAGUCACUUUAGGAAUAGACAACAAAAGUGCACCGGCGAGGUACUUUCCCAUUAUUCACGAGGUUUUAUUUUUUGAUAGCAUAAUCAUUCUUGACAUUGUUAACUCAUGGUUAUUUUUCUCUUAAGGCAUCACAAUUGCAAAGCACUGGAACUGAACAAAGUAGACAAGCCCCUUUUGAACUUUCAGAAUGAAAUUUAAAAUAAUACCUGCCUUUUCCUUGUGUGUGUAUUAGUAUGAGAAGUUGCUACCUUAUGUUGCUUACUUAUGUAUGUUGCUUCUCUUACAGAUUUUGAAAACUCAUGUCUAGCUUGAUAUGCUUGGACGCAUUUUUUAGGGGUUCUCGAAAACCUAUUGAUAAUUUUGCAUGAGGCAUAACUGGACAUCUCUGGUAAAUGCUUUCUCCGUUCAGGCACGCUGUUCUGUAAGAACCUCAUGACUAAUUGUAUGUUCAUCAUGAUAGGACGCAUGCACUAUUAUUAUA